CAGCUCAGUGGUAGGCUGCUUACGUCUCAUGUGCAAGGCCCUGGGUUCAAUCCCUAGAACAGGAAAGCAGGAAUGUUGAGAGCUGUCUCCUAUUCCAGCACCCCAUCAGGCAUGCCAGGAAGAAGAGACAGUCAAAACUUGGUGCAUCUGUGAGCAUCCUUAUGAUUUACAGGCUGAAGGUGAAGGGAGCUGUGGAAGACGGUGGCUACUGUCCGGAGGGCUGGC
rnacentral:lncRNA from 1 species